UAUUCGCAAUAGCCAGGAAUGGGGGAAUGGUGUGGAUUCUCCAGGGUGUUCAGUGUGAAUGCUGCAGGAAGCAGGUGCCAAGACUGCUAGAUUUCCCCUCAUCAGACCUGAAUCCAUCAGAGACCCAGAAGAUGGAGGCCAAGCAAGAGGGUGAUGGGGAGGCCAGUUUGCUGGGUGAUGGGAAAGUAAGUCAGGAGGACAGUGGUCAGCUGGGAGGACCAGAGCAGAGCAAACUUAAUGGUGUA